UACGGGGGGGGCAAGCGUUGUUCGGAAUUACUGGGCGUAAAGGGCUCGUAGGCGGCCAACUAAGUCGGAUGUGAAAUCCCCAAGCUUAACUUGGGAACUGCAUCCGAUACUGGAUGGCUUGAAUCCGGGAGAGGGAUGCAGAAUUCCAGGUGUAGCGGUGAAAUGCGUAGAUAUCUGGAGGAAUACCGGUGGCGAAGGCGGCAUCCUGGACCGGCAUUGACGCUGAUGAGCGAAAAGCUAGGGGGAGCAAACGGG
rnacentral:rRNA from 1 species